rnacentral:rRNA from 1 species
UUGAACGCUGGCGGCAGGCCUAACACAUGCAAGUCGAGCGGCAGCGCGGGGCAACCUGGCGGCGAGCGGCGGACGGGUGAGUAACGCGUAGGAAUCUACCCAGUAGCGGGGGAUAGCCCGGGGAAACUCGGAUUAAUACCGCAUACGCCCUAAGGGGGAAAGCAGGGGCUCGUAAGACCUUGCACUAUUGGAAGAGCCUGCGUUGGAUUAGCUAGUUGGUAGGGUAAAGGCCUACCAAGGCGACGAUCCAUAACUGGUCUGAGAGGAUGAUCAGUCACACCGGAACUGAGACACGGUCCGGACUCCUACGGGAGGCAGCAGUGGGGAAUAUUGGACAAUGGGGGCAACCCUGAUCCAGCCAUGCCGCGUGUGUGAAGAAGGCCUUCGGGUUGUAAAGCACUUUAAGUGGGGAGAAAGGUUCGGCAGCUAUUACCUGCCGGAAGUGAUGUUACCCACAGAAUAAGCACCGGCUAACUCUGUGCCAGCAGCCGCCGUAA